GAGAAAGAGAUGGGGACUUAAAAGAAGCAGGAAGGUCCAGCAGGUCAAGAAGCCCAGGUGCCGUUUCCCUGUUACUGGCUGAAGCCCUGUGACUCCCAGGCCCGCCCCCCACCGCAGUUGAUGUUCGCAAUAAAAGGAUCUUUUCUCUCU